GAAAUAGGAUAGACUAGAAAAACAAGAAGAAGAAAAAAGAGUAGACUAGACUUUAUUUUUGGCAUAAAAUUUCCAUGUGGGUCUAUGACUUUUGAUUAAUAGUGUUGCAUUCAGAAUAAUUUUCUUGAAAGCUUCUGUAUUGAUGAUGUGAAGUUUCCCCAUUUUCUUUUCAAUUUGGGUUACUCGGUUUUGACUUUGACCCUUACUUGUUUUUCCAAGAUUAUUAUGUACACUCUCAGGAAAACAUUCCUUUUUACUGUGUGAUCUGCACUGGGAUUCAGCAUUUCAGUUUGUUUGCAAUUGACCUCUUUGAGUUAAGUUUACAAAAUCUAUUUCUUUUCUCUGUUUUGGAUUGAUUUGUAUGCUCUUAGAAUCCUUUUAUUAUAGGGUUUUGUAUUAUUUCUAUUUGAUUAGUUUCUGUUCUGCAUCUGCUGAAUUGAUGUGCUGUUUGGGUUCAAAUAUUGUAUUAUGUGAAUUUUUAAUUACCCUAUUUGGAAAUAAUGUGCGAUUAGAAAUACUGGGCAUCACUUGUUUUGUUAUGAAAAGUGUAGGCUUUUAAUAAUUUCUUUGAAACAAACUAUGUUUUCUUGUUAUUGAUGAUCUGGCUUCACUGCAGUUAGAGGGCAGAAGUUAGGCUUCAUUAAAGAUAGUUCAUCCAGUUGUGAAGCAUCUGAAAGUUGAGGAUCUGAUUAUGGGAAGCAAACAGUCAAGGCAUCAGGAUCACUACCAGCAUGAUUCGUACAAUUAUGGGGCUCCAUCACUCCCAAGCUAUCCACCGUACUUGUCUCAUUCUUCAAGGUAUAUUGAUCAUGAUGGAAGAAGCAAGCUGCAGUCAAGGUAUUCAAGAAUUGGUGAUGAUUACUACUCCCUAGAACAGGUGACACAAGCUCUUGCACAAGCUGGUUUGGAAUCUUCCAAUCUUAUUGUGGGCAUUGAUUUCACAAAAAGCAAU
rnacentral:misc_RNA from 1 species